AAACAUUUACACUACAGCUCUGGAGACAGGCUUUGAAAUGAAGGUGCUUUUUUAAUUAAAAGUCAGAGGAAUGCUGCUUUUGUCUCAGCAAACCAAACUUUAUAAGGACAUAUUCAUUGCUCCUGCAAUAUCUAAUUAACACUAGAGGUAGAAAAGUCGGGGGAGCAAAUCUCCUGAGGAGCAAAGACCAUUAUUUUCUGAUGCCAUGGAAGGUAGGGAAUAUUCCCAGACAGAAUGCUAUGUUAAUUGGUUUCUUUUUAAAUAAGUGUCUUAAUUUGUGUUGCAGAUACCACUAAGUACAUCAGAAUAGGUUAUUGCAAGCGGCAGAAGACUACUGAUGCCAGGAGCCUAAAAAUGCAGCUUUCAACUAAUUUCUGAAUAUGCAGAAAGAGUCCCUGAUGACCUGGCUUUCUCAUUGUGGCUUCAGUGCAAUAGAAGAAUGUACUCUCUUGUGAAUCACUGGCCAUGGGACCUCACUCCUUAGAGACAUCUGUCCACUGAGACCUCACUUUACUGUUGCAGUGACUAAGUAGGAAAUAGGAACCUCAAGUACCAUAGGAGCAGUCUUUCUCCCUCCAUAAUCUGAUGGUCAAGAUCCUUAGUCUCACUGAAGGUAAGACCCAGUGUCAUCAAGCUGCAAGAAAAUCUCAGUAUCCUAUGAAAGG
ensembl:lncRNA